rnacentral:rRNA from 1 species
UCUAUUAUAGGGAGAAGCAUGACCGGAAGGACAUGUGGACGAGAUAGAAGAGAGAAUGCCGGAAUGAGUAGCGAGAAUUAUGUGAGAAUCAUAAUGGUCGAAAACCUAAGGUUUCUUGAGGAAGGUUCGUCCGCUUAAGGUAAGCCGGGAGCUAAGGCGAGGCCGAAAGGCGUAGUCGAUGCACAUACGGUAGAAAUUCCGUAGCCACCGAAAUUGUUAAGCACAGGGACGCAGGAACAUAAUCCAACCGCACCGAUGGUCGAGUGCGGCGAAAGGGAGCGAAAAUUAAGUAGCGAAGUGGAUGAUUGUACACUGACGAGAAAAGCUGUGUGGAUUGAUGAGGUGCCCGUACCGUAAACCGACACAGGUGGGUGAGGAGAGAAUCCUAAGACCAGCGGGAGAAGUGUUGUUAAGGAACUCGGCAAAUUGACCCCGUAACUUCGGGAAAAGGGGUGCCUGCUAGCGCAGGCCGCAGAGAAUAGGCCCAAGCGACUGUUUAGCAAAAACACAGGUCUCUGCUAAAUCGAAAGAUGAAGUAUAGGGGCUGACGCCUGCCCGGUGCCGGAAGGUUAAGAGGAGGACUUAGCGCAAGCGAAGGUCUGAAUUGAAGCCCCGGUAAACGGCGGCCGUAACUAUAACGGUCCUAAGGUAGCGAAAUUCCUUGUCAGGUAAGUUCUGACCCGCACGAAUGGCGUAACGAUUUGGGCACUGUCUCAACAACACACCCGGUGAAAUUGUAGUACCGGUGAAGAUGCCGGUUACCCGCGACUAGACGGAAAGACCCCAUGGAGCUUUACUGUAACUUGAUAUUGGAUUUUGGUAUUGCAUGUACAGGAUAGGUGGGAGACUGAGAAGCACAGACGCCAGUUUGUGUGGAGUCAAUGUUGGGAUACCACUCUUGUGAUACUGGAAUUCUAACCUGCGGCCGUGAAACCGGUCGGGGGACAAUGUCUGGUGGACAGUUUGACUGGGGCGGUCACCUCCUAAAGAGUAACGGAGGCGUUCAAAGGUUAGCUCAGUACGGUCAGAAAUCGUACGAAGAGUGCAAACGCAAAAGCAAGCCUAACUGCGAGACGAACAGGUCGAGCAGUAACGAAAGUUGGAGUUAGUGAUCCGGCGGUAAGAGAGUGGAAUUGCCGUCGCUCAACGGAUAAAAGCUACCCUGGGGAUAACAGGCUGAUCUCCCCCAAGAGUCCAUAUCGACGGGGAGGUUUGGCACCUCGAUGUCGGCUCAUCGCAUCCUGGAGCUGGAGUCGGUUCCAAGGGUUGGGCUGUUCGCCCAUUAAAGCGGUACGCGAGCUGGGUUCAGAACGUCGCGAGACAGUUCGGUCCCUAUCUGUCGCGGGCGCAGGAAAUUGGAAGGGAGCUGUCCUUAGUACGAGAGGACCGGGAUGGACGUACCACUGGUGUACCAGUUGUCUUGCCAAAGGCACGGCUGGGUAGCUAAGUACGGAAGGAAUAAACGCUGAAGGCAUCUAAGCGUGAAGUCCCCCCUAAGAGAAGAUUUCCCAUUCUUUAAAAGAAGUAAGACCCCACGUAGACUAUGUGGUUGAUAGGUCGGAGGUGUAAGUGUGGUAACACAUUAAGCUGACCGAUACUAAUAGGUCGAGGGCUUGACCU